rnacentral:rRNA from 1 species
GGAUCCAGACUUUGAUUCUGGCUCAGGAUGAACGCUGGCGGCGUGCCUAAUACAUGCAAGUCGAACGAAUCUCUUUUAGAGAUGAGUGGCGAACGGGUGAGUAAUACAUAGGUAACCUGCCUCUGUGCGGGGGAUAACAGGAGGAAACUCCUGCUAAUACCGCAUAGCCAUGAGCACCGCAUGGAGCUCAUGCCAAAUAUCCUUUCGGGGAUAGCGCAGGGAUGGACCUAUGGCGCAUUAGCUUGUUGGCGGGGCAACGGCCCACCAAGGCAACGAUGCGUAGCCGGCCUGAGAGGGCGGACGGCCACAUUGGGACUGAGACACGGCCCAGACUCCUACGGGAGGCAGCAGUAGGGAAUUUUCGGCAAUGGGGGGAAACCCUGACCGAGCAACGCCGCGUGAGCGAAGAAGGCCUUCGGGUCGUAAAGCUCUGUUGUAAAGGAAGAACGGCGCAUACAGGAAAUGGUAUGCGAGUGACGGUACUUUACCAGAAAGCCACGGCUAACUACGUGUCAGCAGCCGCGGUAAUACGUAGGUGGCGAGCGUUAUCCGGAAUCAUUGGGCGUAAAGAGGGAGCAGGCGGCCGCAAGGGUCUGUGGUGAAAGACCGAAGCUAAACUUCGGUAAGCCAUGGAAACCGGGCGGCUAGAGUGCGGAAGAGGAUCGUGGAAUUCCAUGUGUAGCGGUGAAAUGCGUAGAUAUAUGGAGGAACACCAGUGGCGAAGGCGACGGUCUGGGCCGCAACUGACGCUCAUUCCCGAAAGCGUGGGGAGCAAAUAGGAUUAGAUACCCUAGUAGUCCACGCCGUAAACGAUGGUCACUAAGUGUCGGGGGUCAAACCCCGGUGCUGCAGUC